AAGUCGGUGUAUAGAGAAGGUUAAGAUCGAUGGAUCGACUUGACCUCUGUCCCUCUGUGCUUCCGGAGGUCCUGACUCGUACCGCCGCUUCCCCUGUUCAUCCGGAUACGGAGUUUACGGUCCCAGAAGGCCGGUCAUACUACUAGCCGCAGGUAUACGAGGCGGCCUCCGACCGGUUUUCCGCGGCAGUGGAUCACGUCCAUUUCGUAACAGCUGCCGCUGGAGACGGAGCUCGUUGCCGUUGUCGAGAGUGCGUCGCUCUGGGGGCAUGUUUCGGCUACUACGUUCAUGACCACCAUUUUGGUGGCCUGUUUUUCGGUUCCCGAAUAGAUCCACCACUUACGAGACGCGCACCUUCUUCUUAGUACACUGAUUUAUAGUCAAAUAGGUUCAAUAUAGACAGUUUAUGCCAAGACACCAGCUUCUUUGGAGAGAUGUAUACUUCACACCGAACACUUUCACCAGCACGUCUGUUCAUCAUCAUAAAGUAAGCAAGUACGUACAAGAAGUAAACAUAGAUAUAUGUGGCAUCAAUACAACCACUUAAACAUGUCACCUAGUAUAUAUGACCUUAACAUAUAACU
rnacentral:rRNA from 1 species